rnacentral:rRNA from 1 species
CCUACGGGAGGCAGCAGUGGGGAAUUUUGCGCAAUGGGCGAAAGCCUGACGCAGCAACGCCGCGUGAGUGAUGAAGGCCUUCGGGUCGUAAAGCUCUGUCAGAGGGGAAGAACCACCUGUCGGUUAAUAUCCGGCAGGCCUGACGGUACCCUCAAAGGAAGCACCGGCUAACUCCGUGCCAGCAGCCGCGGUAAU